GACGUAGGGCGCGAGCGUUGUCCGGAUUUAUUGGGCGUAAAGAGCUCGUAGGCGGCUUGUUGCGUCGACCGUGAAAACCCGGGGCUCAACUUCGGGCUUGCGGUCGAUACGGGCGGGCUAGAGUUCGGUAGGGGAGACUGGAAUUCCUGGUGUAGCGGUGAAAUGCGCAGAUAUCAGGAGGAACACCGAUGGCGAAGGCAGGUCUCUGGGCCGAUACUGACGCUGAGGAGCGAAAGCGUGGGGAGCGAACAGG
rnacentral:rRNA from 1 species